rnacentral:rRNA from 1 species
GACGAACGCUGGCGGCGUGCCUAAUACAUGCAAGUAGAACGCUGAAGAGCGGUGCUUGCUCUUCUUGGUUGAGUUGCGAACGGGUGAGUAAUGAGUAGGUAACCUGCCUGGUCGUGGGGGUUAACUAUUGGAAACGAUAGCUACUACCACAUAAAAUGGAUUAUCUCUUGAUAAUCCAUUGAAAGGUGCAAAUGCUUCACUACCAGAUGGACCUGCGUUGUGUUAGCUAGUUGGUGGGGUAACGGCUCACCAAGGCGAGGGUACAUAGCCGGGCUGAGAGGGAGAGCGGCCACACACGGACGGAGACACGGCCCAGACACCGACGGGAGGCAGCAGUAGGGAAUCAUCGGCAAUGGACGGAAGUCAGACCGAGCAAGGCAGCGUGAGUGAAGAAGGGUUUCGGAUCGGAAAUCACCGUUGUUAGAGAAGAACGAGUGUGAGAGUGGAAAGUUCACACUGUGACGGUAUCUUACCAGAAAGGGACGGCUAACUACGUG